CCCCACACAGUUUAUUUCUUCACAACAGUACAGGAAGGUCUCCACUCAUCGGUUUACUUUGUCCACAAAGAAAGGAGACAAUUGUGUUGAAGUUGGAGAUGGAUUUGCAUUAAUAGAGAAUAUUAUUAAAUCAGAAGAGGAUACAUAUAUAAUCGUCAGAAUGUACGGACACAAACAGCCAUAUUACAUGUAUCCCUGUGAAUCAUCAUACAUUGGCACAUACAAAGUCAGUGGCUUGAAAGAAAAUAUAGGGGUAGUUGGACUGGCCUCUAUCAAGCGCAAAUGCCUUCUCUGUCCAGACAUGGAUGGUGCCAUUGUAAUACCACUACUUCAUUUAGCAUAGUCAUGCUGCCCUGCCAAAGUGCAGUAUCUGUAACUGAGAUGUAUAUCAUGGCAUAAAUUACCUAAAAAUAACAUUUAUCUAAUUCUUACCUGUGCAAAUAACAUGUUUGACUGGCCAAAAACUACAAUGUCUGUAGUGCACUUUGGCUUUGAAGAGUGAAAUGGGGAUGACCUGUAAGGAGAUAUCAUGAGUAGUUCUCAUUUCAUCCCUAGCCCUUCGAAGAUGAGUAGAGAGGCACUGUGGUCAGUUGUACAGUUCCCAAAUGGUGGGACAGCAGUAGUUCUAGAGAGCUGGUUUAAAGCUGAGGAACAGACGCUGUUAUGGCCCCCAAAACACAUAACACUCAAGAAAGCCCUUCGAGACGGAAUGCAACCAGACGACAAAUGGAUCACCUAUACGGAUGUACGAGUCCUCAUUACGUGUGAGACCCUUGAUGAGGCGAAAAAACGAGAGACAAAAUAUAACACCACAAUGUGUCCAACAUCUGAAAUUGAAUCUCAUGAUGAAGGAGCUAUCCGCCAAAAAAGAAUAUCCAGGCCAAAUCAGCAGUUUAUGCAUUCUGAUUCUGAAGACCAUCAGAGUAGCAGUGCAAAAAGAAAGCGUUUUGCCAAACCACCUGAUGUUGGAUGUCCAGGUAUUGUUUCCUUUAUAUUGACACUAUGCUCACUUCUACACAGUCAAAAAAGAAAUUACAUAUAACAGUGUACCAAUAAAAGGACAUUUUAAUUUGAUUGAAAUUGUGUUUCUUGCUGAAAUUGUGUAUAGUUUUAGCACUUAGAGCUAAAACUAAUUGUGUAUAGUUUUAGCUCUUAAUUAUUUCCUAUUUUUCUUAGUAGAUCUUGUUGCUAGCAACUACCAACAAUCACUAGCUGAUGAAGUUCUUAAUGGUGAGUCGUCAAGCAGUCUCAUAAGACUGUGAUGUCAAAGCAAUGCUUUAAAUAUAGAGCAGUC